GUUGAGGCGGUCAGAUUAGGCCGGGCUGGCUCACACGAGGGUCCCGGGCUUGGCUUUUUCCUGCCCGUACCACUGGACAUCAGCUAGUUCUGGAUAGAGGGAGGAAUCCAGGAAACAGCUAUCAUUGUAGCCCCUGUGGGAGGCCCAAGAAAGGAGAUGAGACAGUUAGUGGAGGAGGACGGGCUCAGCCAGGCCUAGACUGAGAAGGAUGUGUUCACCUUGACAGGGCCCUGUGCUAAUCACGAGUCUUUCCUGUUCAGAGCAGUGAGGCCUGAGACCCUCAACAGUGCUGCGUGUACAGAAGGCCCCAGAAUCCACACAAAGGGGCCGCCUGAAACCUAGAGCAUUUGUGAAGGAGGAAAACGUAAGGAACAACUGGAUGUUGUAAAUGUUUCUCAUCUGGCCUGAAAAUCCACGAAAGCUGGAAAAUCCCAAGGCAUCUGUGCAUAUACUGGUGGAUUUUAAUGAGAGUCCUGUGCUUGGAGCACCAGAAAUAAACCAGCUUCAGAAGUAAAGUAAGAAAAGGCCCUUGAUUAUGACACUGGCCACGGGUAUUACUAUAUGUAGGUGGUAAGUGGACGUUUCUGGGAUACCUGUCCUGCAAACUUUCUUUCCACCCUGAGCUGACUUUUGAAAUUGUGCCUGACUGAAAAACUUCUAAGGGGAGAGGUGGUUGGGCCCUCCAGGGGUCCUGUGUUUCUCUUAGGGGGACAAUCUCUCCCUAAUUCCAUGUGGUCCUGGUGGUGUUCUCCACCAUGCUGCCAUCCUCACUCCCGGGGGGACCAGGGGACAAGGAACCCAGUGGGGCCGGGCCAAUGAGUCCCCCGAUCACAAUCCCUGGUUCAAAGAUGGCCAUGUGCCUGAGCAGCUUUGAAACCACAGAGAUGUCAUUUCCUCCUGAGAACGAAGUUAACAGGAGGAGGAAGCAGAGCUAGAGAUAGAAUGAGACCCAGCCAGCCCAGGCUCCAGUGACAUCAGCCGGUACAUGCUCUUGUUUGCUUACUCUUGUUAAACUGAGUUUUUCAUAUGUAACUAAUGAAUACUGGCACAUGUAAGUAGUUUCUUAAACUGUUGAUGGAAUGUUUGUUUCUAACACGAACAUGAUCUGGCUCUGUUUGGGACAAAACUUCCCUAAGGGGCUUCAUGAGAUCUAAAGAACCACUGUAGCCAGUGUUUCCCAAAGUAGUCCUGUGAGUUGCUCUGAGGGGAAAAAAAAGGUUCCAUGGAUAAAUACAUUUGAGGAGUCUGCCUUUCAGAGGCCUGAAAUGUAAAUGUAUAUAUUAAAGGUUCUGAGAAGUCCUGGAUUACUGUUUGCCCCAGAACUUCUGGAACAGUAUCACCUAUGAAGAUCCACAGAACACACUUUGAAAAACACUCUUAAAUAGGCUAAUAUUAUAAAAUGAGGUUGACUUAUCUUGUAUGUUGGAUCCUGAACAGUUUGUGGUUCAAACUAUUACUGUUAAAGUUGAGUAAUAAUUGUGACAAUAUAACCUGCUUCACAGGGACUAAAAGUCCACUAUGUAUUGAUCAUAAAGGCUCAAGGAGAGACCACCGAGUUCAAAGCAGUGACUGGAUAAGGCAGUAGAUGAGGUUAAGGGUUCCUGUGGUGGUUUAUUCGGUAUGUGAAGAGCCUAACCCUUAGCCUAACCCUGUGCUGUUCUCCUUCUGGGUCACAGAACCCAUACAUGACAGGGCACUGGGAUCUGGAUGAUGGGGUGGGAGAUGCUGGAUCGGUGGUUUGGUUCUCAGGUGGCUCCCCGAGGGGCCACAGUAUGGAAACCCUGGCCUGCUCCUGCCUCUGAGGAAACUAGAGCUGGAGGAAAAGAGGUAAAGAUGUAUUUUUCCAAAAUUGUGAUGUCUUACACGGAAUCUUUCUUAGUGCUUCCCCAUCAUUACUGAAGUAUGUAAGGUAGUUUUAAAGCUAUAAAUGUUGCUUCAUGUAUUGGUCUCUUAUUCUCAAGUUUAUUCUCAAGUUGGGGGAAGAGACCCUUGUUCUGGCUGCUCAGCUAAGCCUUUCAGUACAAAUUCAAUUUUAGGGUAAUAGUCAAGGAAUGCCAUGUGCUACGAAAGCAAAAUUAAUGAGAGCGACCAUUUAGGAAGCAUUUAUUCUUCAUGAAUAAUACAAAUGGGGCCACUAAAUAGUUGCCCUAGUAAAGUCAAGUCAGUCAUUCACUGGAAUAUGAGCUGGGGCAGGAUGAAGAUGUAGCUGUGCUCUCUAAACUGUGACCCAGCAGAGCAGCUUAGCACUGGGCAGUCUGGGUCACAGAAGUGACAACGUCAGAAUCUGUGAGGGCCAGUGCCUGUGGGGGCUUUCCACAGGAAGAAUGCGCUUUCCCAGAACUAUGCUCAGAGACGUGUGGCCUGCAAAGUGUACUGGCCAGGGGCCCUCUGAUACCAGACAGAUGGCAAAUUCACCCACAUCUCACAGGAUUGUGUGGUUUUUAAGUGCUUGGCAUAGGGAGGUGGGGCUGCUGGGAGGGAGGAAUUUCAAACUGAAUUAUUUUUGUAAAUGUAUAACUUACAAAACAACUGGUAGCACAUACUUGGGUUGUUGAAUAGUCCUGCAGUUGGGGACGAGGCCCUCUAGAGGCAUCCUGUCUCACCUGGUCUGGGAAGGUGCUGUUGCUCAGUAUAUGUAGGUGUGUCCCUGCAUGUGCACACAUGUAUGCAUGUAGAUAUUUCAAGCAGAUGUGCUUACAUUUCCACAGCAGCUCUUUCAAACCUGGUUAGUUCUAGUUCUGGCUAUCAUCCCAACCUCCAUCACCUUUAACAGAUGAGAUGAUCGGCCCUUCCAUACUGGGGGAGAAAAAGGCCAUUCUUCCUACUUCAAAAAUACUGCUCUCAUGACAUCAUCCUAUCUUAAAAUCUCUUCUUUUUUCUGGCACUGGCCAGGGGGUGGUCUACCUUCCUUCCAAAGCCUAAGUCCCUGUCCCCCGAUUCCCCAUCUGCCAACUUGGCAAUAUUGUCCGAGCUUGUUCUCUUCAGGAAACAAGACUCUCUGUUAACCACCCCUCACGCUUGUCUGUGCAUCCGUGUUUUUGCACUUGGAAUGGUCUCUCCCUGUCUCAACCCCCUCCUCCCACCGCAGGCUUCUGAGCCAGGCUCACAUAACAUCUCUGUGAACUCAAAAGUCACCCUCUCGUUUCUGAAUCCUCUCAGCGUUUUGUUUCUAAGUCUUAGAGCACUGAAUACAUAAGUGUGGCAGUUUCUCAUGCUCCUCGUAUAUCUCCUGAUAGACUGUAAGGGUCCUGGAGCUAGGAACCAGACCAGGUGUUUUCUGCCCCUGUGCUUUGCAAAUUUCGACAUGCAUUUUAUUCACUCAGGAAUCUUGUUAAAUGCACACUAGGUUCAGUAGGCCAGGGUGGUGCCCAGGAGUCUAACUUUCUAACAAGCUCCCUGGUGAUGGUGGUAGCAAUAAAAAUGCUGGCUUAUGGACAUUUCGAAAAGCAGUGCUCAUAGCCUUUGGUACUCAGCACAGCUGUUAAGAAUGCUGGGAUGAAAUGAUGGGGGUGCUUCUGGAUCAACUCAGUCUGCCCUUGGUGCUUUGAAACUUACAUUGCAGUGAUGCUGUUCUUUUCAGGAACAGUAAAAUGUCUACAAAUAUUUGAAUAUAGGUAGAACAUGGUGAGUCUAAAACAUACUUUGGGGCCAGGCGCACAGAUCACUUCGAGACUAGCCUGGCCAACAUGGCGAAACCCCGUGUCUACUAAAAAUACAAAAAUUAGCCACGUGUGUACCUGUAGCUACUAGGGAGGCAGGAGAAUCGCUUGAACCCGGGAGGCAGAGGUUUCAGUGAGCCAAGAUCAUGCCACUGCACUCCAGCCUGGGCAACAGAACAAGACUCUGUCUCAAAACAUACUCUGGGGGUCUUUUCUGGGAAGCAGUGUUGGGAAUAUCUAACAUCUGAUGUAAGAACCUCCAUCUAAAAACAUAUAGUUCGCCAUGUAUCUGGAAAUAAGGCAUAAAUACAGCACUCAGAUGUAUCCUUGUGGAAACGGUGACACGGAGAAAAGCAACACACAUGCAGCACAUGUGGGACCACAGACUCAUGGGCAGUAGGAACAAAACUCCUCUUACGGUACCUCUAUUCAUCAGUACUUUGGUGAGGUGGAGACUCAGACCCAUCCAGAAUGGGUGAGUUUUCUGUUGCUUCUCUGAACAAAGGAAAGCAGGAGGAGGAAGAGAAGAGAGGUCAUGUUACAGAGAGAAACUGACACAGACACGAUUAGCAGCUUAGUAAUACAUCCGAAAGGCCCACCGAUUAGAUACCUGAGUUAGCAACAGAUCAUACAAGUCAUGCAGUACUUUCAGUCCCCAUAAUUGAGUCAAAGACGUAAUUUGUUAGGAGGGAUGGGCCCUCUUUGGCACUUUUUACCCAUGGCCUCAUUUCGUGUCACAUCAUAGCAAAGAGUUUAUGCAAGAACCAAAAUAGCUGUUUUGUUUCAGAUUUGUCUUGAGUCCUCACUAGUUGUACAUGGUGAAAUAGGCAAGAUUCAAGACCAUCUUAUAUGUGUAGGACCCUGAGGAGUGCUUGUACAUUUCAGAGCCUGUUGCCAAAUACAAUCAUAUAUUUGGAUCGGGUGAGACUGGGCAUGAUUCAGAAAAGAUCUACAGAGGGAUCUUAAGUUUCUUGUUUAGUCACUGGAGGUAUGUAUUAUAUAUAUGAAAGAUGUGUCAUUCUUUUAUGAGCUAAUCUUGGUGAGACUCUUAGACCCUAAACCUUGCAGAGGCUGCCUGGCCACACAGGUGAGAGCUGGGGUGUGGGUGGUACGUGAGUAGGUGUUAAUGAUCUAGAGUUAAGGACAGAGGGGCAGCUACUGCCCGACAGACAGCCCAAGAAGUAGGAGUAGACACAGGAACAGCGAGUUGGGGCUCCAGUUUCCCUUAUUUUAAAAGGAAUUAGAGGCAGCAUGGGAUUGGUCAGUGAUGGUCAAACUUGAGUGUGUGUCAGCAUCACCUGGAAGGCUUAUCAGAAAGCAGCCUGCUGGGCUCCACCCCCAGAGUUAUGGAUGUUUUUAGGUUACAGGUGAGCCUGAGAAUUUGCAUUUCUGAUAAGAUCCUGGGUGAGGCUCUCACGUGCUGCUGCUUUGGGACCACACUUAACUACCGGUAUAGUGGGAAAACACAGGGUUUGGGGUCACAGAGGGCAGAGCUAGGAUUCCAGCUCCCUCCAGCUGUCAGACUUUGGGCCAGGCACUUAGUUCCUCUGAGCCUCAUCUAUGAAACUAAAACGUCUGGGUAUUUCUGUUGCCAGGGGACGAUAAGGAUUAUAUGAGCUGUGUGUUAGAAGCUGCUCCCAGCCUUUGAGUACACAGCAAGCACUCAGUGUUAGAACCCUUUCUCUCUUACCAAAAAUGAAGGCUCCAGAAAACCUUGUGUAAAAAAUUACUACAGAUAAACCUGCUACAGAUAAACCUGCAGGAACAAAAAUGCCGGCCAGUGCCUGUAAUCCCAGCACUUUGGGAAGCCGAGGUGGGCAGAUCACCUAAGGUCAGGAGUUCGAGACCAGCCUGGCCAACGUGGUGAAACCCUGUCUCUAAUAGAAAUUUGCCAGGUGUGGUGAUGCACACUAGUAAUGCCAGCUACUAGGGAGGCUGAGGCAGGAGAAUCACUUGAACCAUGGAGGUUGCAGAGAGCUGAUAUUGUACCACUGCACUGCAGUCUGGGCAACAGAGUGAGACUCCAUCUCAAAAAAAAAAACGGCCAAGUAUGAAAGCCUGAAAGGCAGGCAUUAGAGCCAAUUCUGGAAUUGUGCUUUUCUCAUGAUUCAACUCACAGCCAGUUGUCAGAUUUUCCCAGACAUCCCCCUGAUGCUCCACCAAACCAGGAACCAGACAAACUGAGGAAGGGGACUCCUUACUCCUCUAACCAACAGAUGUUGACAGAACAUCUACUUAGAGUGAUGUCUCAGGGGCAACAGAAGAGGCAGGUGCUGUAGGGCCAGGUGGGUUACCUGUGUCUGCCAGACCCUCCACUAGGUCAGAACAGCCUCACUGGCCCCGAGAUGAUAAUGCUGUAGGCGAACUCGUCAGGCUAUCAAAAGAGCCGCCUGUCGGUUUCAUUUAUUUUGCUGUGUACGGCUUCCGCUGAAGGCUUCAGGGCGCCUGAUCUCCUUUGUGUGUUGAUAAAGAGCAAGUGCUUGGCCACGACAUAGCCUUUUUUCUUGCAUCCUGAGACAUCCUAAGACAGUGGCCGUUUCACCUGCCUCUCAGGGUAUUUGCUGUCUUCAGCUCUCUUUCUCCCCCUGACAUUCGUGCCUGGGUACAAUCCCAACUGAAAUCAAAUGCUGUCUGGAAAUCUGACCAAAGCAGCACAGUCCCACUUCCUGCUUCCAUCUCCCCACAUCCCAAGGACCACCGUCUACUUUAAGAGAACACAGACAAUUCACCUCUAUAAAGGCACAGCCAGGGAAAGGAGUAGGCAGAGAUGACAGCGGAUCAUGGGACUUCUCUUGAAGACACUUCCCAGUGACGAACGCUCAUCGUCCAUUUACUGACUUAUCCUUAUGUCACUAGGAUCUGAAUAUCUACAACACUCUUUCGAGUGGACACAGUGAAGAACAUGGAAGGAGAACUCACCCAGUCUGCCAGGGUCACAGAUGAUCAUACUCAAGAUCUUCCUGGGGAGUCAAUGGCAAAUUUCACUGGGCUAUUUUACAGGUGAAGAAGGAGCAUAAAGAAGGUUCUAGGACCUUGAAGUCCACGGAACACCCACUAUUGCCUGAUCUCUGGAGCUUGUCAUUUGGCCAAUGGACCCUAAUAAACAUGUCCACCAGGAUGUGGGGAUAGAAUGCCGGAGCCUGGCUCACCUGGGCAGCCAGGUUCUUCCUCUUUGCCCUGCUGUCUCCAGGCACCAAGAAUUUCCUCCAGUUCCCCAAAGAUGAACCCCCCAUUAUCUCAGGUCACUGUUUCCCCUGAUCUUUGCCAAAUUCCUGACUCAGAGUUCCUCCCAUUUGCUUCUGACUCUCAUUUUAUUCUUACAAUGUUUACCAUUUCUGUUCUUCUCAGUGUCCCUCUCUGAGUGGUAAGAAUAUGUUAAUAAGCCAGUGCUGUGACCAGAGCACAAGGCAAUUGCUCAUGUUGGUCAGUGUCACUGUUAUUAAAUGUAACUUAAGGGAA